rnacentral:rRNA from 1 species
UGUGUAGGCGGUUCUCUAAGUUCGGUGUGAAAUCUCCUGGCUUAACCGGGAGGGUGCGCCGAAAACUGGAGGGCUUGAGUAUGGGAGAGGAAAGCGGAAUUCCUGGUGUAGCGGUGAAAUGCGUAGAUAUCAGGAGGAACACCUGCGGUGUAGACAGCUUUCUGGACCAUCACUGACGCUGAGACACGAAAGCGUGGGUAGCAAACAGGAUUAGAUACCCUGGUAGUCCACGCCCCCUAAACGAUGCAUACUUGGUGUGAGCCGUUCAUUCGGUUCGUGCCGGAGCUAACGCGUUAAGUAUGCCGCCUGGGGAGUACGGUCGCAAGGCUGAA